UAGAAGUUCUCAGGCGUCAAGUUCUGAAGAAUAUAAGAAUGAGAUAAUUUCCAGAGUGAGGUCAGGAGCGGGAAAAGUAUGCUUUGAAUCUUUGUCUUCAUACAAGAUGCAUUGAUUUUAUAUCUGGUAAUGUUAUUGGAUCACAUAAAAGACCAACCUUGAAAGUGACACAAAUGUGAAUGGGCCCGUGAUGGAAGACUAUCUGGAAGAAAAAUGUUUGGAGUGCUUGGAUGAUGCAAGGUUACACAAGACAACUUGGUUGGCCAGCUGAAGGACCUCAGAUGAUUCACAAAGCAAUGAGGGAGAGGCAAGUAUUGUACCUGGGAAUUUCUGGAGAUAUGGGGAUGAGAAGGGUGAUUUCUGAAGCUGGAUCUAAAGUAAGAUAGUAAGGGAAAUUCAGCAAUUGAUUACCAGUCCGGGGUGAAGCACAUCAUUCAUGGAGGAGAUGAUUUUGAGUGGUGGGGAAUGGUAUUUGUGAGGGAUAUCAGUGGUGACAAUAAGUUAAA